rnacentral:rRNA from 1 species
AUGGAAGGAAAUCAACUGGCUGCUAUCCAAGAAGAAGAAGGGGGAGAAAGAGGAGCCGGGCAAACAGAGGAAUAUCAAGAGGCUAAGGUUCCAGAUCUGGCUUUGAAUCUGCAAGUAAUGAGUAUCUCUGCACCAAGGGUUCAUAAUCUACGGGCAACACAGCCAUGGACAAUGGGUUCAGAUAAUCUACUCAUUGAAUGGAUAGACCCAGCAGAUGAAUCUAAGACGAAGGAUGAUUACAAGUUCGACCACAUAUAUGUGAGUGUUCGUGUUUAUGGGGUACCAAAAAAUCACAGAUCGCUCCAACUUUUACAGCAAAUCCUCUCUACUAUUGGCAAGCCGUCUGAAUUUCACCCUUUGCAAGAAAGCAUGUUGUUUGCUAGAUCAGACUAUAUUUGGGGAACUACAAAGAUUAGAAUUAGUGAUUCAAUUGUGGACAAAAUCAGCUUGACAUUGGAUGAAAAGAACUCUAAAACAGUCUAUCUUUAUUAUGAAAAGAUUGGCAGAAUCUGCUUGUUUUGUGGAGUGAUGUUUCAUACAGUCCAACAUUGCCAGAAGAGGAAUAACAUUAUUAUGGAAAGGGUGAGAAGCGGACAAACAACAGAAGAUAUUCCCUUCUUCAGAUAUGGAGAAUGGGUAAUGGACUCAGGUAAAAUUCCAUCACAGGCCAUUGAAAAAGAAAUAGCCACAAAUCCCAUUCUGAGCAAAUUUCAAAAGAUGUUUCAGGAGGAUCUGAAUAAGGAAAGAGGCAAACCAGUCCUGGGUAAAACAGAUCUGCACCCAAGUUUCCCUACAAGGCAAUACUACUAUGGUAGCACUGGUCCAACUUUGACUACAGAGAAGCAAAGUAAUCAGAAUCUGUACACAAGAGAGGGACAAGUCAAAGGUACUGGUGGUGCCGAAAUGCACAGGACAACUUCAUUUAACAAUUCUGGAAUUCAUGACUUUGAAAUGGAGGUUUUGCCUGAGAAUGUUCAGUAUGGAGAAGCUUGGGCCUGGAAUGGUCCAACGAUAUAUGAAAAAUAG